GAGCUCGCUUCAGCAGCACAUAUACUAAAGUUGGGACGAUACAGAGAAGAUUAGCAUGGCCCCUGCACAAGGAUGACACGCAAAUUUGUGAAGCGUCCCAUAUUUUU
ensembl:snRNA U6 U6 spliceosomal RNA